rnacentral:rRNA from 1 species
UACAUAGGCCUCGAGCGUUAGGCGGAAUCACUGGGCUUAAAGCGUGUGUAGGCGGACUUCUAAGUACCUUGUGAAAUCCCACGGCUUACCCGUGGAACGGCUGGGUAUACUGGGAGUCUUGAGACACCUAGGGGCGAGUGGAACAAAUGGUGGAGCGGUGAAAUGCGCAGAUAUCAGGAGGAACACCGGUGGCGAAGGCGGCACUCUGGGCCGGUACUGACGCUGAGGAGCGAAAGCGUGGGGAGCGAACAGG